GACGAACGCUGGCGGCGUGCUUAACACAUGCAAGUCGAGCGGAGCGGCGAACGGGUGAGUAACGCGUGAGUAACUGCCCCCCUCUCUGGGAUAACAGUUGGAAACGGCUGCCAAUACCGGAUAGUGGGGGAUGACUCGCGUCCUAUUGGCUUGUUGGUGGGGUAUUGGCAUACCAAGGCGACGACGGGUAGCCGGCCUGGGAGGGCGACCGGCCACAGGGGUCUGAGGGACGGCCCAAAGGCCGACGGGAGGCAGCAGUGGGGAAGAUUGCGCAAUCAGGGAAACUCUGAUGCAGCGACGCCGCGUGCGGAAUGACGGUCUUCUGGUUGUAAACCGCUUUCAGCCAUGACGCGGUAGUGGCAGAAGAAGCACCGGCUAACUACGUGCCAGCAGCCGCGGUAAUAC
rnacentral:rRNA from 1 species